GUGAAUUUUAAAUUUGGAGUCCUCUAUGCUAAGGAUGGUCAGCUUACAGAUGAUGAAAUAUUCAGUAAUGAUCAUUCUUCGGCGCAGCAGCACCUAAUGGGACGCUUGGCUGCUGUCCUGAAGGGAUUGGUCACUGGAACUGUAAAUCCUGGAGAGUUUGUAAGGCUGCUGUCCCCAGGGAGGUACCGUGCUUUGUUUGCUUUUGCUCUGUUGGUUAGGUGCUGCUUCUCAUCGGAAGUAUUAAUUUCAAACUACCGUGUUCUUUUUUUAACUUUUUUCCUGGUUCUCUCCAUCCGGCAGGGAAAGACUCUCGUGUCCUGGUCGUCAGGCUCAGUGCUGCCCGAAAAGAUACAGAGACUAAAAAAAUAUGACUGCAGAGAAAACAAACUGGAGAGAACAAAAGGAGUUUUUAAUUCUGUGUUGCCAAGUCAUCCAUCGGAGCCCUGUUGUACUAAUCAUCCUACAAAUACAAAACAAAAAAUCAGACCCUGUUCCAGCCGCUUGGAGCCCGGAACAUUGUUUCCUCGGGCUGCCAUUGGUGUGCCGUCAGUACUCACCACGGAAGCGAGCUGAGGAUUGCUGCAGCUGUUGGGAACAAACAGCUGCUCGUCACAAAGAAAUAGAAUUGGGGCGACAGCUCGGUCAGUGCGUCCCUGCUCUCGUCUCCUGAAUCUCCAGCAGAGGAGUUCCAGUCCAUCCGGGUACGUGUCAUCCAGUUCCUGGUGAUCUGAACACACUGAGCAGCACUCAGCUGCUGUGGGGGGCUCAGGGAAGGCAGAGUGUGCGUUCUCAUCUUCCUGAACCUACAGACAAAUCAAAGUGAGAAGCCACAGGGUGGAAAUCAGUCGCAUAUACGCUAAAUAAAACUUG